AUGAGAAGGAGAGGGGGCUCGACAAAAAUGAGGGGGGAAGAAAGGGGAGAUGCUCUCUUAAAUUCUCCUGAUCUCCCAUCCCGUUCUAGCCUGCCUUUCUUCCCCUUCCCUAAAGGACCAGUCCCCCCCGUCCGCCCUUUCAUUAAUGCACCGAAGGGCUGGAUCCCCCAGGUUUGGGAGUUAGCUCCUGCAGGGUGGGACUGUGCACUGGUGCCUCGUGCAGUGCAGAGCACAAAACAAACGUUUCAGGAAUACUUGGUGAUGAGGAAGUGUCGUGCCAAAGGAAAUUUCAAACGCGUCCUAGGAUUCCAACUUUCUGACAUCUGCUUUUCACGCCAAAUUAAUGUUUUAUUGCCUGAAUUAUGUUCUAGUAAACCAGGAUGCAAAGGUUUCCAAUCAGCCUUCCUGUGCCCUGACAACUGCGAUGUAUCAGAUAUGCUGGAUGAGACAAGUUUUUUCCAAGGCAUGAAAAGAAGCUGUAUGUCAAGGGUCCAUUCUACAAGUACAGUCACAGCCAAUUACAGUCCCAAGCAGCAAGAAGGAGGGAACAAAGAUAUUGACACUUCUCCUUCCCUGCAACCUACUCCCCACCAAUUAAAAUUCUGAGAAGCUCAAAGGAGACUGAAAAGUGAGAAGCAAAGAUAGUAUCUGAAAAGUCUAGGAGGAUAAAUGUGGGAAAGUCCAGUCAUGUAUCUCCACCCAUGGAUAUGUUGUAUAUGAUCACACAGACACAGGAAAUGGGAAACUGUACAAGUACUUUGAACUGCUGAAUGUCACUGAAUAAAAAACCACAACAGUAUGUUAUAUGAUUUCUGUGUAUCAGAGUAUCUCAUUCCAAUGCUGACCUAGAAGAUGGGAGAAGUGGCACCUUAGCAGUACUUGCCUAUUAUCCAGGUUCUUUGAAUUAGAUCUCUUCAUUACCUGAGCAAAUAAAUCAAAACUCCUUCACAUCUCAUCCUAGGAAACCCUUGUCCAUAUUUUUUCUGUAAGCUUUACCCAAAGUUCCCAUUCAACUGGCUAGACAUUUUUCUCUGGCUAUUUUAAUAUUCCACAGGUGGUGCCAUAGCAUUAAGUUUAUCUGUCAUU
rnacentral:lncRNA from 1 species